rnacentral:rRNA from 1 species
CUCUGGUAUUGAUUGGUGCUUGCAUCAUGAUUUACAUUUGAGUGAGUGGCGAACUGGUGAGUAACACGUGGGAAACCUGCCCAGAAGCGGGGGAUAACACCUGGAAACAGAUGCUAAUACCGCAUAACAACUUGGACCGCAUGGUCCGAGCUUGAAAGAUGGCUUCGGCUAUCACUUUUGGAUGGUCCCGCGGCGUAUUAGCUAGAUGGUGGGGUAACGGCUCACCAUGGCAGUGAUACGUAGCCGACCUGAGAGGGUAAUCGGCCACAUUGGGACUGAGACACGGCCCAAACUCCUACGGGAGGCAGCAGUA